rnacentral:rRNA from 1 species
ACGGAAGGCAGCAGUGGGGAAUAUUGGGCAAUGGGCGAAAGCCUGACCUAGCAACGCCGCGUGAAGGAAGAAGGUCUUCGGAUUGUAAACUUCUUUUAUGGGGGACGAACAAAUGACGGUACUCCAUGAAUAAGCCACGGCUAACUACGUGCCAGCAGCCGCGGUAAUACGUAGGUGGCAAGCGUUAUCCGGAUUUACUGGGUGUAAAGGGCGCGUAGGCGGGAAAGCAAGUCAGAUGUGAAAUCCAUGAGCUCAACUCAUGAACUGCAUUUGAAACUGUUUUUCUUGAGUGUCGGUGAGGUAGAUGGAAUUCCUAGUGUAGCGGUGAAAUGCGUAGAUAUUAGGAAGAACACCAGUGGCGAAGGCGAUCUACUGGACGAUAACUAACGCUGAGGCGCGAAAGCGUGGGGAGCAAACAGGAUUAGAUACCCUGGUA